rnacentral:tRNA from 1 species
GCAGAUGGUAAUGCGCUUGGCUGCUAACCAAAAGGUUGGAGGUUCGAGUCCACC